rnacentral:rRNA from 1 species
UGUCUUCGUAGGUGAACCUGCGUAGGGAUCAUUUUUGUGGGGUUUUUGACUGUCGCAAAAAGUGUAAAAACUUUUAACCCUUUGUGUUUAGCGACAACACAAUCGCAUAAUUUUAUAUUAUGUGUUCGCUUCGGCGUGGUUAACUUUUUUCUUUAUUGAAAAAGGUGCCAAACUUUUUUUCAAGUCUUCAUAAUGGACGACUUGGCUCUUGUAUCGAUGAAGAACGCAGUGAAAGGCGAAACGUAAUGUGAAUCGCAACUAACAGUGAAUCAUCGAAUCUUUGAACGCAGGCCGCGCUUUGCAUAUCACUUGUGUUAUCGCAAAGCAUCUACGUAUGAGUGUCAGCCUAAUAUACUUUCGGUUUAAUGGUAAUUUAUUUACUAUUAAAUACAUUAUGCGAGUAUUUUUUAAAUACACGCGUUUAACAGAAUUUAUGUCUGGCCUCAUAUGUGGAAGAUUACCCGCUGGAUUUAAGCAUAUCAGUAAGCGG